CCUACGGGAGGCAGCAGUGGGGAAUAUUGCUCAAUGGGGGAAACCCUGAAGCAGCGACGCCGCGUGAAGGAUGAAGGCCUUCGGUAUGUAAAGCUCCUUUGGUAGAGAAGAAAAUGACGGUACCUGAUCAAUAAGCACCGGCGAAUUUCGUGCCAGCAGCCGCGGUAAUACGCAGGGGGCAAGCGUUAUCCGGAUUAACUGGGUGUAAAGGGAGCGUAGAGGGGUUGUCAAGUCAGUUGUGAAAUCCUGGGGCUUAACCGUAGAACUGCAUUCGAAACUGUUAGUCUAGAGUACAGGAGAGGUAGGUGGAAUUCGUGGUGUAGCGGUGAAAUGCGUAGAGAUCAGGAAGAACACUGAUUGCGAAGGCAGCCUACUAAACUGUAACUGACGUUGAUGCUCGAAAGCGUGGGGAGCAAACAGGAUUAGAUACCCGUGUAGUC
rnacentral:rRNA from 1 species